rnacentral:rRNA from 1 species
AUAAUGGGUCAGCGACUUAUAUUCUGUAGCAAGGUUAACCGAAUAGGGGAGCCGAAGGGAAACCGAGUCUUAACUGGGCGUUAAGUUGCAGGGUAUAGACCCGAAACCCGGUGAUCUAGCCAUGGGCAGGUUGAAGGUUGGGUAACACUAACUGGAGGACCGAACCGACUAAUGUUGAAAAAUUAGCGGAUGACUUGUGGCUGGGGGUGAAAGGCCAAUCAAACCGGGAGAUAGCUGGUUCUCCCCGAAAGCUAUUUAGGUAGCGCCUCGUGAAUUCAUCUCCGGGGGUAGAGCACUGUUUCGGCAAGGGGGUCAUCCCGACUUACCAACCCGAUGCAAACUGCGAAUACCGGAGAAUGUUAUCACGGGAGACACACGGCGGGUGCUAACGUCCGUCGUGAAGAGGGAAACAACCCAGACCGCCAGCUAAGGUCCCAAAGUCAUGGUUAAGUGGGAAACGAUGUGGGAAGGCCCAGACAGCCAGGAUGUUGGCUUAGAAGCAGCCAUCAUUUAAAGAAAGCGUAAUAGCUCACUGGUCGAGUCGGCCUGCGCGGAAGAUGUAACGGGGCUAAACCAUGCACCGAAGCUGCGGCAGCGACGCUGAUGCGUUGUUGGGUAGGGGAGCGUUCUGUAAGCCUGCGAAGGUGUGCUGUGAGGCAUGCUGGAGGUAUCAGAAGUGCGAAUGCUGACAUAAGUAACGAUAAAGCGGGUGAAAAGCCCGCUCGCCGGAAGACCAAGGGUUCCUGUCCAACGUUAAUCGGGGCAGGGUGAGUCGACCCCUAAGGCGAGGCCGAAAGGCGUAGUCGAUGGGAAACAGGUUAAUAUUCCUGUACUUGGUGUUACUGCGAAGGGGGGACGGAGAAGGCUAUGUUGGCCGGGCGACGGUUGUCCCGGUUUAAGCGUGUAGGCUGGUUUUCCAGGCAAAUCCGGAAAAUCAAGGCUGAGGCGUGAUGACGAGGCACUACGGUGCUGAAGCAACAAAUGCCCUGCUUCCAGGAAAAGCCUCUAAGCAUCAGGUAACAUCAAAUCGUACCCCAAACCGACACAGGUGGUCAGGUAGAGAAUACCAAGGCGCUUGAGAGAACUCGGGUGAAGGAACUAGGCAAAAUGGUGCCGUAACUUCGGGAGAAGGCACGCUGAUAUGUAGGUGAAGCGACUUGCUCGUGGAGCUGAAAUCAGUCGAAGAUACCAGCUGGCUGCAACUGUUUAUUAAAAACACAGCACUGUGCAAACACGAAAGUGGACGUAUACGGUGUGACGCCUGCCCGGUGCCGGAAGGUUAAUUGAUGGGGUUAGCGCAAGCGAAGCUCUUGAUCGAAGCCCCGGUAAACGGCGGCCGUAACUAUAACGGUCCUAAGGUAGCGAAAUUCCUUGUCGGGUAAGUUCCGACCUGCACGAAUGGCGUAAUGAUGGCCAGGCUGUCUCCACCCGAGACUCAGUGAAAUUGAACUCGCUGUGAAGAUGCAGUGUACCCGCGGCAAGACGGAAAGACCCCGUGAACCUUUACUAUAGCUUGACACUGAACAUUGAGCCUUGAUGUGUAGGAUAGGUGGGAGGCUUUGAAGUGUGGACGCCAGUCUGCAUGGAGCCGACCUUGAAAUACCACCCUUUAAUGUUUG